GAUGAACGCUAGCUACAGGCUUAACACAUGCAAGUCGAGGGGAAACGACAGAGGAAGCUUGCUUCCUUUGGGCGUCGACCGGCGCACGGGUGAGUAACGCGUAUCCAACCUUCCCGCAAGUAAGGGAUAACCCGUAGAAAUGCGGCCUAAUACCUUAUGUUUUCCUUAGAGGGCAUCUGAUGAGGAACAAAGAUCCGUCGCUUGCGGAUGGGGAUGCGUCUGAUUAGUUAGUCGGCGGGGUAACGGCCCACCGAGACGACGAUCAGUAGGGGUUCUGAGAGGAAAGUCCCCCACAUUGGAACUGAGACACGGUCCAAACUCCUACGGGAGGCAGCAGUGAGGAAUAUUGGUCAAUGGGCGGAAGCCUGAACCAGCCAAGUAGCGUGCAGGACGACGGCCCUAUGGGUUGUAAACUGCUUUUAUAUGGGGAUAAAGUGAGCUACGUGUAGUUUAUUGCAGGUACCAUAUGAAUAAGGACCGGCUAAUUCCGUG
rnacentral:rRNA from 1 species